UACGUAGGGGUGCAAGCGUUGUCCGGAUUUAUUGGGCGUAAAGCGCGUGUAGGCGGCCAGAUAGGUCCGUUGUGAAAACCCCGAGCUCAACCUCGGGACGCCGACGGAAACCAUUUGGCUAGGGUCCGGAAGAGGAGAGUGGAAUUCCCGGUGUAGCGGUGAAAUGCGCAGAUAUCGGGAAGAACACCCGUGGCGGAAGGCGGCUCUCUGGGACGGUACCGACGCUGAGACGCGAAAG
rnacentral:rRNA from 1 species